AUGAUUCCCAUCACCGAUUAUGCAGUAAUAAUAGUGAGAACUGUUAACCAAAGAGUCAGUGCUCACUGUUUUGCUUCCUCAGGGGAAUAAAGGCAGCUUUAGACAUCUCCCUUGAACUUACAGAAUAAAGCAAACACACAGGAGGAAAAGUAUAACAAAGAUUAAGGAAGCUCAUGUGUCAGAAUCAGAAUAGGCGGUACCCAGAAGCUUAGCAAAAGGAAUGAAAGAGUGUUUCUUCUUCUCUGCCCAUGAAAAUAUUCUUACAAACUGAAUCACAGGAGGAAGAGGAAAAGAUAAAGUGAGCUGCUUUUCUUUUUUCUUGGAGAUCCUGGGCUUCAGACAGAGAGACUGCUGGGGGAUGUGCAAGGUGGAAAGCCGUGUUUGUGAUUCAACCCCCUCACUCUGAAGUAGAGAGCUAAAGCUAAGAGCACAUUGACUGACGACGGGGUUUAGAAGCAUCUGCUCUCUACCAAGCCAAGAUGGGGAAACGCACACAGGGAUGAGAGGAAGGAAUUCAUAGCAUGUACAGUGAAUCGUGUUGUUGUCUAAUACUAUGCUGCUAGGAGAUGGAGUAUUUGGUUCUGUGGAGCAUGCAGCAGUCCCACUGGAAUUCUAACAUAGGCCAGGUUACAUGAAUGUGAGUCAUGGGACAUUAUUCUUUAAACAAUAUUUAUUAAAUACCUACAGCAUGCCAG
rnacentral:lncRNA from 1 species